UACAGAGGGUGCAAGCGUUAAUCGGAAUUACUGGGCGUAAAGCGUGCGUAGACGGUCAUGUAAGUCGGGUGUGAAAGCCCCGGGCUCAACCUGGGAAUUGCAUUCGAGACUGCAUGGCUAGGAUGCGGAAGAGGGAAGCGGAAUUUCCGGUGUAGCGGUGAAAUGCGUAGAUAUCGGGAAGGAACACCAGUGGCGAAAGCGGCUUCCUGGU
rnacentral:rRNA from 1 species